rnacentral:rRNA from 1 species
UACGGGGGGUGCAAGCGUUGUUCGGAAUUACUGGGCGUAAAGGGCUCGUAGGCGGCCUACUAAGUCAGACGUGAAAUCCCUCAGCUUAACUGGGGAACUGCGUCUGAUACUGGAUGGCUUGAGUUUGGGAGAGGGAUGCGGAAUUCCAGGUGUAGCGGUGAAAUGCGUAGAUAUCUGGAGGAACACCGGUGGCGAAGGCGGCAUCCUGGACCAACACUGACGCUGAGGAGCGAAAGCCAGGGGAGCAAACGGG